GUGGUUUUAGCUUAAUUAAAGUGUYUGAGUUGCAGUCAGGUGAUGCAAGUUAGAGUUUUGCAGGCCUUC
rnacentral:tRNA from 1 species